rnacentral:tRNA from 1 species
UGCCCGGUCUUCUAGCGGUAGGAAUACGCGUUCUGGGCGCGGAAACCUUGGUUCGAAUCCAAGUCGGGCAU